rnacentral:rRNA from 1 species
UACGGAGGGUGCAAGCGUUGUCCGGAUUUAUUGGGUUUAAAGGGUGCGCAGGCGGCCGGGUGUGUCAGGUGUGAAAGCCCGAGGCUUAACCUCGGAAUUGCGCCUGAAACUACUCGGCUAGAGUAUUGGAGAGGGUAACGGAAUUCACGGUGUAGCAGUGAAAUGCGUAGAUAUCGUGAGGAACACCAGAGGCGAAGGCGGUUACCUGGACAAUUACUGACGCUCAGGCACGAAAGCAUGGGGAGCAAAAGGG